ACCUGGCUGGCUCAGUAGGUAAAACAUGAGACUAAUGAUCUCAGGGUUGUGAGUUCAAGCCCCACGUUGGGUA
rnacentral:tRNA from 1 species